CUUCGUUCAAAUGGCUACGAAGAGGCAUAUUCAGUUUUUAAAAAGGAAGCUGAAUUAGAUAUGAAUGAAGAAAUAAAGUAGGCUGGUGUUUUGGGGGAAAAAAUGGACAUCUGUUAUUAGAUUACAAAAGAAGUUUAUGGAAUUAGAAUCAACACUAAAUGAAGCAAAAGAAGAAUUUACGUCAGGUGGACCUCUUGGUCAGAAACAAGACCCAAAAGAAUGGGUAUUUUCUGCCAGAAAAAUACACAUUGAGUGGUCACAGGAGUCCAAUCAUUCGAGUCAUUUUCCAUCCUGUGUUCAGUGUUAUGGUCUCUGCUUCAGAGGAUGCUACAAUUAAGGUGUGGGAUUAUGAGACUGGAGAUUUUGAAAGAACUCUUAAAGGAAGGACACACAGACUCUGUACAGGACAUUUCAUUUGACCACAGUGGCAAGUUUCUGGCUUCCUGUUCUGCAGCUAU
rnacentral:lncRNA from 1 species